CGGCUGUGAUGACGUCUUAGGACACCUUUGAAUUUCACAUGAAACAACUCACUGAACGAUCUGAGCUAC